ensembl:lncRNA
AUGUGGAUUCGCUAUCAAUAUUUUUUGUCCCUGAGGUGGUUUUUUGUAAUUUUUUUUUUUAUCUCUCCCUCUUUUCAGAGCUCCAGAACAGCUCGCUCAGAGGAAGAUCGAGACUCACUGUGGGAUGCCUGGGGUUCAUGGAGUGAAUGUUCACGCACGUGUGGAGGAGGGGCUUCGUAUUCACUGAGACGUUGCCUGAGCAGCAAGACCUGUGAAGGGCGAAACAUCCGAUACAGGACAUGCAGCAAUGUGGACUGUCCUCCAGAAGCAGGUGAUUUUCGUGCUCAGCAGUGCUCGGCGCAUAACGAUGUCAAGUAUCAGGGACAGUUUUAUGAGUGGCUUCCUGUCUCUAACGAUCCUGACAACCCAUGUUCGCUGAAGUGCCAGGCCAGAGGAACAGCUUUGGUUGUAGAGCUGGCACCAAAAGUUCUGGAUGGGACCCGAUGCUACACUGAAUCCCUGGAUAUGUGCAUCAGCGGCUUGUGCCAAAUUGUUGGCUGUGACCGCCAGCUGGGAAGCACUGUCAAGGAAGAUAACUGUGGGGUCUGCAAUGGUGAUGGGUCCACCUGCCGGCUGGUUCGAGGCCAGUAUAAGUCCCAGUUCUCAGCAAAUAAAAUGGUCGAUACAGUAGUUGCUAUUCCCUAUGGAAGCAGGCAUAUUCGCCUCGUGCUGAAAGGACCCGAUCAUUUAUAUUUGGAAACCAAGACUCUCCAAGGUGUUAAGAGUGAAAACAACCUCAGCUCCACAGGUUCCUUCAUUGUGGACAAUUCUAGCAUUGACUUCCAGAAGUUUCCAGACAAGGAGAUACUGAAAAUAUCUGGGCCUCUCACUGCAGACUUCACUAUCAAGAUAGUCUACGUUGGUGCUGCUGACAGUUCAGUCCAGUUCAUCUUCUAUCAGCCUAUCAUUCAUCGAUGGAGAGAAACUGAUUUUUUCCCUUGUUCAGCAUCCUGUGGAGGAGGUUAUCAACUGACUUCUGCUGAAUGUUUUGAUCUGAGGAGUAAUCGGGUAGUAGCAGAUCAAUACUGUCACUAUUACCCUGAAAAUAUCAAGCCAAAGCCAAAACUUCAGGAGUGUAAUCUGGAUCCUUGUCCUGCAAGUGAUGGAUACAAGCAGAUCAUGCCCUAUGACCUCUACCAUCCCCUUCCUCGAUGGGAAAGUACGCCCUGGACUGCCUGCUCCUCAUCCUGCGGAGGGGGCAUUCAAAGCCGCAGUAUCUCAUGUGUGGAGGAAGACAUUCAAGGGCAUAUUAGCCCCGUGGAAGAAUGGAAAUGCAUGUACACUCCAAAGAUGCCUCUUGUCCAACCUUGCAAUAUAUUUGACUGCCCAAAGUGGCUUGCUCAGGAAUGGUCACCGUGCACUGUGACCUGUGGACAAGGGCUCAGAUAUCGCGUGGUCCUUUGCAUUGAUCACAGGGGGAUGCAUACAGGAGGCUGUAGCUCUAAAACAAAGCCACACAUAAAAGAAGAAUGCAUUGUACCCACUCCUUGUUACAAACCCAAAGAGAAACUUCCCGUGGAAGCAAAGUUGCCGUGGUACAAACAAGCUCAAGAGCUGGAAGAAGGAGCAGUGGUGUCUGAAGAACCUUCGUUUAUUCCUGAGGCUUGGUCCUCCUGUAGUGUCACCUGUGGAGUGGGCAGCCAGGUGCGGCUUGUGAAAUGUCAAGUGCUUCUGUCUUUCUCUCAGUCUGUGGCUGAUUUGCCUAUUGAUGAAUGUGAAGGUCCCAAACCCGUGUCUCAGAGAGCCUGUUACAGUGGUCCCUGCAAUGGAGAAGCAGCUGAACAUACUCCUGAAGAAACGGAUCUGCUGUAUGGUAGAUUGCAGGAAUUCGAUGAGCUCUAUGACUGGGAAUAUGAGGGCUUCACUGAGUGUUCGGAGUCUUGUGGAGGAGGUGUCCAGGAGGCUGUGGUGACCUGCCUGAACAAGCAAACCAGGGAGAUUGCAGAUGAGACUCAGUGUGUAACAAGUCGCCGUCCUCCACAGCUGCUGAAAGCCUGUAGUCUGGAUCCCUGCCCUCCAAGAUGGGAAAUUGGGAAAUGGAACACCUGCAGUCUUACGUGUGGGGUUGGAUUGCAGACACGAGAUGUCUUCUGUUCUCACCUACUAUCAAGAGAAAGUAAUGAGACCGUGAUUUUAGCAGAUGAAUUGUGCCAUAAACCUAAGCCAUCGCUUGUACAAGCCUGUAAUCGCUUCGACUGCCCGCCCUCCUGGUAUACUACAGAAUGGCAAGAGUGUUCACAGACAUGUGGAGGUGGUGUCCAGAAGCGAGAUAUACUUUGCAAGCAGCGUCUGGCAGAUGGAAGCUUGUUAGAGCUGCCAGAAACAUUUUGCUCCAUGCCGAAGCUGAUUUCCCAGCAAACCUGCAAAAAUGAGGACUGUCCUAAUGAGUGGCUUCUUUCUGACUGGUCACAGUGUUCAGUGAGUUGUGGAGAGGGGACCCAAAGUCGAAAUGCUAUUUGCAGAAAGAUGCUGAAAACUGGGGGUUCUGUUAUCAUCAAUUCCUCCCUGUGCCCACCUCUGCCAUUCUCAUCCUUACUCAGGCCCUGUGCACUAGCAACCUUGUAUGGGGAAAGGGGUCCUCAUAUUGUGGCCGUAAAGAAAGUUUACAUCCAGACAAGGAAGCAGAAGAAGCUACACUUUAUUGUGGGUGGGCAUGCCUAUCUGCUGCCCAAAACCUCUGUUAUUCUCCGAUGCCCCACAAGGAGGUUCCGGAAGUCAAUGAUCUUCUGGGAGAAGGAUAACAAGAGGCUCAUCAGCUCAGCUCACAUCACCAUUGCACCCUAUGGGUACAUGAAAAUCCAUCGUUUGAGGCCUUCAGACACUGGGAUAUAUACCUGCAUAGCAGGGCCAGCCCGGGAGCAUUUUGUAAUUAAACUAAUAGGAAGCAACAAAAAUCUCAUUGCUGGGCAGCCAGCUGGCAUUAGGGAGGAAGAGGCCAUGAGAAAGUCCGGUCUAAAUGAAGCCUUGCGAACACAGGAGAAACAUAUCAAUGGGAUUCUCUUCAAUGGAAGCAAGACUGAAAAGCGAGGGCAUCUUGCUGACCCUAGUGGCUGGUAUGACAAUAUUGUCUCAAGGUUCCAGGAGUAUAGCCUGCCAUAUACUAUGGUCACAGAUCAGAAACAGUUGGAUGAUAUCAUAAGGAAUUUGUCUCAGCAACCUGAGGAGCUUAAAGAUAUUUACACUGAGCAGAUUGUUGUACAGUUGGCUCAUGAGAUUUUCAAGAGCCACUUGGAGCAUCAGGAAUCUGUCCUCAAAGCAUCAAGACGAAGAGUUGAUUCAGCUUCCAUGGAAUACCCUUUCCACAGACAUGUUUCUGGAUUUACCAGCUCCUUGAGGACAUCAUCUGCUGAAGCAUUUCUUCCCACCUCUAUGAACCCAACGAAUGGCUUGCACAGCCCUCAUCAAAAGCCUGCCAUCCUCCGAAAGAUUUCAGCAGCACAACAGCUUUCUAUAAAAUCAUGUGAAUAUGUAAAAAUCCAACUAAAUAUAUUCAUUCUGACACAAACUGAGACCUUUACCUCCUUUCUGCUUUACUCUAGGAUGCUACUUCAGCCUGAUGACUCCUUGCAGAUUCUAGCACCUGUGGAAGCUGAUGUGGGUUUCUAUGCUUGCAACGCAUCUAAUGCUCUGGGAUCUGACUCUGUGUCCAUUGCUGUCACUCUAGCAGGUAAUAAUUCACUUAUUUUGAUAGCACACAACCUCUGUGUCUUAUACGUGUUAUGUGUUGUCAAUGUUUUUCCAGGUGUUCCUGAAGCGGAAGUUACUUGGUUUAAAAAUAAGGUCAAGCUGUCCCCUGCUCACCACCUGCACGAUGGGUUGCUGCUAAUUGCAAAUGUUUCUCUGUCGGAUCAGGGGUUAUAUUCCUGCAGGGCAGCCAAUCUACGUGGGGAGGUAACUGAAAGCUCCCAGCUGUUGGUUCUUGGUAAGUACAGGGUAUUUUGCUUGCGAAGCUAUAGGAAUAUACUGUGUGGUACUGACCCAUUUUAUACCAAACAGGUGCAUAAACACAGUGCACUUUUGAAAAACACUUCCCAAGUUCAGUAA